rnacentral:rRNA from 1 species
AACGAACGCUGGCGGUAUGCUUAACACAUGCAAGUCGAACGAACAAAAUUGGGGCUUGCUCCAAUUUUAGUGAGUGGCAAACGGGUGAGUAACACGUGGGAAUCUACCUAUCAGUACGGAAUAACAUUUGGAAACAGAUGCUAAUACCGUAUAUUCUCCAAGGAGGAAAGAUUUAUCGCUGAUAGAUGAGCCCGCGCAAGAUUAGGUAGUUGGUAGGGUAAUGGCCUACCAAGCCGACGAUCUUUAGCUGGUCUGAGAGGAUGAUCAGCCACACUGGGACUGAGACACGGCCCAGACUCCUACGGGAGGCAGCAGUGGGGAAUAUUGGACAAUGGGCGAAAGCCUGAUCCAGCAAUACCGCGUGAAUGAUGAAGGCCUUAGGGUUGUAAAGUUCUUUUAGUUGGAAAGAUAAUGACGGUACCAACAGAAAAAGCCCCGGCUAACUCCGUGCCAGCAGCCGCCGUAA